ACAGGAAGUAGACUUAGUCAGAGUCAGCAGUUCAGUUCCCUGAUGAUGAGCUGUCAGUCGCCCAGGCGUCCUCACACGUGGUGGACUAAAGUGAUUUCUUGCCGCUCUCCAAGGUCAGAGGUGCGUCUAAAGAAUGCGUUUCCUCGCCGUAAGGAAAAAAAACAACAUUUCCAGCAGUGAAGAAAAGGCCAGUUUGUUGUGUGUUCUUGGCAGUAUUGUCCUGCUGAGUUGUUUUUCAACAUAAAAACGAAGUUUGACAAAUUUGUCACUGAUUUAGGCAAGUGAUUUUAGGCAAGUGAAGAUUGAAGAGGCACCCCUUUGCUCAAUGCUGCUAAAAUCUGUUGCACAGGAACACAACAGCCACAACAUUAGGUCGCAGAGACCCACAAGAGGGAGAAUGGAGAGAUUGACAGAACACAAAGGAAUUGGAGAAGAGGCAUGGUGGUCUAGUCGCCAGACGAGGAACUGGAGAGGCUGCGGCAGCUGUUGUCCAUUGCAGAUGUAUGCUGGCCUUUGUAGCAAAGGCUCUCUGCUGUCCUGUUCUUGGUUCCAUAUGACACAAUGCUGUCAAUAUUUCGUAUGAAAUGUAAUUAAACACAAUAAAGAGUUUCAAGG